UACAGAAAAAAUAAAGUACGCCGCACGUGGUUUAAAGUGUAUCACUUUAGCACCCUAUGAUUACAUUUUUCUCUUUCCGUCAAUAUCUUUGCUAACUCUCUAUUGAAUCAUAUACAUAAACUUCAGAUACUACAUCUAGUAGCUUACCGAAUUUCACUUAAGUAUUUUAUAGUUUUAAUUUUGUCACCGAUUUAAAAAAAAAAUUAGCAGAGGAGAUAUCUAAAAGACAAAAACAAAACUAUAAGAUACUGAAGUAAUAUAUUUUAAAUCACAUGAUAGUAGAGUGAAAAAACGUG
rnacentral:lncRNA from 1 species